rnacentral:rRNA from 1 species
CCUACGGGAGGCAGCAGUGGGGAAUAUUGGGCAAUGGGCGCAAGCCUGACCCAGCAACGCCGCGUGAAGGAAGAAGGCUUUCGGGUUGUAAACUUCUUUUGUCAGGGACGUAGCAAGUGACGGUACCUGACGUUUAAGCCACGGCUAACUACGUGCCAGCAGCAGCGGUAAUACGUAGGUGGCAAUCGUUAUCCGGAUUUACUGGGUGUAAAGGUCGAGUAGGGGGGGAAGCAAGUCAGAUGUGAAAACCACGGGCUCAACCUGUGGCCUGCAUUUGAAACUGUUUUUCUUGAGUGCUGGAGAGGCAAGCGGAAUUCGGGGUGUAGCGGUGAAAUGCGUAGAUAUAACGAAGAACACCGAUGGCGAAGGCAGAUUGCUAGACAGUAACUGACGCUGAGGCGCGAAAGCGUGGGGAGUAAACAGGAUUAGAUACCCUUGUAGUC